UGGGGAAUUUUGGACAAUGGGCGCAAGCCUGAUCCAGCCAUGCCGCGUGCGGGAAGAAGGCCUUCGGGUUGUAAACCGCUUUUGUCAGGGAAGAAAUCUUCUGAGUUAAUACCUCGGGAGGAUGACGGUACCUGAAGAAUAAGCACCGGCUAACUACGUGCCAGCAGCCGCGGUAAUACGUAGGGUGCAAGCGUUAAUCGGAAUUACUGAGCGUAAAGCGUGCGCAGGCGGUUUUGUAAGACAGAGGUGAAAUCCCCGGGCUCAACCUGGGAACUGCCUUUGUGACUGCAAGGCUUGAGUGCGGCAGAGGGGGAUGGAAUUCCGCGUGUAGCAGCGAAAUGCGUAGAUAUGCGGAGGAACACCGAUGGCGAAGGCAAUCCCCUGGGCCUGCACUGACGCUCAUGCACGAAAGCGUGGGGAGCAAACAGGAUUAGAUACCCUGGUAGUCCACGCCCUAAACGAUGCCAACUGGUUGUUGGGAAGGUUCCUUCUCAGUAACGUAGCUAACGCGUGAAGUUGACCGCCUGGGGAGUACGGCCGCAAGGUUGAAACUCAAAU
rnacentral:rRNA from 1 species